GUACCAUUUCGCUUCGUCAGUACAUAUACUAAAAUUGUAACGAUACAGAGAAGAUUAGCAUGGCCCCUGCGCACCAUUCUGAAUUGUUGAAUUUAACUCUAAGUGU